UGAACUUAAGCAUAUCAAUAAGCGGAGGAAAAGAAACUAACAAGGAUUCCCCUAGUAACUGCGAGUGAAGCGGGAUGAGCUCAAAUUUAAAAUCUGGCAGUUUUACUGUCCGAGUUGUAAUUUAGAGAAGCAUUUUCUGUGCUAGACUGUGUACAAGUCUCCUGGAAUGGAGCGUCAUAGAGGGUGAGAAUCCCGUCUUUGACACAGAACUACUAGUACUCUGUGAUAUGCUCUCAAAGAGUCGAGUUGUUUGGGAAUGCAGCUCAAAAUGGGUGGUGAACUCCAUCUAAAGCUAAAUAUUGGCGAGAGACCGAUAGCGAACAAGUACCGUGAGGGAAAGAUGAAAAGCACUUUGGAAAGAGAGUGAAACAGUACGUGAAAUUGCUAAAAGGGAAACACUUGAAGUCAGUCGCAUUAGCUAGAAUUCAGCCUCUGUGGUGUACUUUCUAGUUUUAAUGGGCCAGCAUCACUUUUUGAUCAUUGGAAAAAAGCUUAGGAAAUGUGGCACUUUUUAUAAAGUGUGUUAUAGUCCUUUGUUAAAUACAGUGGUUAAGAGUGAGGAAUGCCAUUUUGUAGGAUGCUGGCAUAAUGGCUUUAAAUGACCCGUCUUGAAACACGGACCAAGGAGUCUAACAUGCUUGCGAGUGUUUGGGUGUUUAAAACUCAUGCGCGUAAUGAAAGUGAAAGUCAGGAAGGUUGUCAUGACCUGCACUGAUGCCUGGACUUGAGAUUUAUCAAAGGUUCUACGGUAGAGCAUGUAUGUUGGGACCCGAAAGAUGGUGAACUAUGCCUG
rnacentral:rRNA from 1 species